UGAGGCAGCGCCCAUUCUCUUCUCCCUCACGUGUUUUUCUGCAGAAAAAACAAGAAAAAUGAAACAAGAAACAAAGUUCCUCUUCCUUCGAUUCUCUCCCUCGCUCUCGAUCGAACAACAAAAACACAACAACACUCUCUUUCUCAAACUCGUGGCCUCUCUCUUUGUUCACUUGCUUCGCGACUAACAGCAACAUUCAACCAAUCUAUCUCGGUUUCACGGCGGCCAUGGGAGAAGUAAGAACGAAAAUCCGAGUAAACACUCAACCAAUCUCUCUCGGUUCUCUCUUCACUCGCGUAGCUUCUCUUUCUUGAUGUGAACAACAAUUGCUCUUGGUUCUCCUUUCUCGGUGAGCUUUCUCUUGUAGCAACAACAACAAACUAAUGUUCUCUCUCUGUGCUACCUCUCUCGCGAAGAACAGUGACAACAACAAUUUCUCAGGGUGCUUUCGGUUCUCUCAUGUUCACGGUAAUACAAAUCAUUUUUUACAGUUUCUCAAACCAAUUCAUUUUUUUCAAUUUUAUGAUCAUGGCUCAAUUGAUAACUUAGUCUCCCUGUUUCAAUUUUCAGUGAUGUACAAGAAUAUAUUUACUGUAAAAUUAACAGUGAUAUUGACAGUGAAAGCGGAAGCGACUUACUUGCGGCGAGGAGGAUUUCGCCGGUUCAAUUGUUGUGGUACAAUCAACGGUUAAUGGAAAUAUGGAGAGUGAAAGAAAAGAGGCUUACCUGCGGCGAAGAUGUUGAAGAUUCAUCUAUGGAGGCUCGAAGAUGGGAGCCAUCGUUGAAGGCUUCUAGCAAGCAAGGUAUGAAGGCCUUCCCUCUUCCUCUUUCUUUUGUAUUUUGUAACUUAGAAGUUACAGAACAUUGGCUGCCUUCUCCCCUCCUUUGUAACUAUGGAACUUUGUAACUAGGAAUUCUCACUUCUCAAGUGGUUUUCUUUGGUUUGAAGAAUUGCUUCUUCUUGCCAAGAAACUUGAAAACUAUGAGAGAAAAAGGGAGAAAUGAGAAAGCUAGUAGUAUAGUAGCUUUGGUGUGAUUUUCUUCAAUGAGAGAACUUCCUAUUUAUAGGCAAAGUUAAGGGAGUGUUUGGCAAUUGGUAAUCUUGAUUGGCAAGUUUCAAUCAUUGCAAGAUAAGAAAAAGAAUAUAUUCUUCAUCAUUGCAAGAAUAAAAAAUAAGAAUAAGAAUAUUCUUAUGCAAAGAUAUUUUUCAUGAUAUAAGCCAUGUGUGUAAAUUUUUAUGUCAUUUUAUGAUAUCUCUAAGUUGCAUAAUUUUAUGACAUAAAAAUCUCUCUUUGGCUUUCUUUGACUUUUGCUAAUUUCACCCCUCUUUUUGUUUCUUUUUUUCAUGUUGCAUGAGGACCUUGAAGAAAAGCAUGAAGAAAUUUGAUCUUGAAGAAUGAAGACUUGAAGAAUUCAAGAAUUGCAUUUGAAGUUUUAUCUUUUUCUUUUCCUUGUAAUUCCAACUUUGUAUGAAUGAAACUUUGUAUUCUUGAAAAUGAAUGGAAUUUUGUAAUUCUUGAAUUUUGGAUAAAGUCUCUAUUGUAACUCAUUUGAAAUUUGGAACUUGUUCAUGUAAAGAAACUCCACUUGUAAUGUUUGAAUUUCUCUUAGAA